ensembl:rRNA 5S_rRNA 5S ribosomal RNA
CUCUGUGACCAUACCACCCUCAAUGUUCCAGAUCUCCUCUUGUCUCAGAAUCUAAGCAGGGUCGGACCUAGUUACUACUUGGAUGGGAGAUACUCAGGCUCUGGCCUGUGUUAGCAAAGAACAAAGGCACACUGAGG